GACGAACGCUGGCGGCGUGCUUAACACAUGCAAGUCGAACGGAAAGGCCCUGCUUUUGUGGGGUGCUCGAGUGGCGAACGGGUGAGUAACACGUGAGUAACCUGCCCUUGACUUUGGGAUAACUUCAGGAAACUGGGGCUAAUACCGGAUAGGAGCUCCUGCUGCAUGGUGGGGGGUGGAAAGUUUCGGCGGUUGGGGUUGGACGCGCGGCUUAUCAGCUUGUUGGUGGGGUAGUGGCUUACCAAGGCGUUGACGGGUAGCCGGCCUGAGAGGGUGACCGGCCACAGUGGGACUGAGAUACGGCCCAGACGGCUACGGGAGGCAGCGGUGGAAAAUAUUGCGCAAUGGGCGGAAGCCUGGUGCAGCAACGCCGCGUGCGGGAUGACGGCCUUCGGGUUGUAAACCGCUUUCGGCUGUGACUAAGCGGGAGUGACGGUACUGGGUAAAGAAGCACCGGCUAACUACGUG
rnacentral:rRNA from 1 species